rnacentral:rRNA from 1 species
GCCUACGGGAGGCAGCAGUCAGGAAUAUUGCGCAAUGGAGGAAACUCUGACGCAGCGACGCCGCGUGGGUGAUGACGGCCUUCGGGUUGUAAACUCCUGUCAGAGGUGAAGAAUGCCCGCAAGGGUUUGACGGUAACCUCAGAGGAAGCACCGGCUAACUCCGUGCCAGCAGCCGCGGUC